GGACAAAUAGCUCCAAUUGGUAGAGCAGCGGAUUGAAGCUCCGCCCGUGCAGGUUCGAGUCCUGCUUUGUCCA
rnacentral:tRNA from 1 species